rnacentral:rRNA from 1 species
UACGUAGGUGGCAAGCGUUGUCCGGAAUUACUGGGCGUAAAGCGUGCGCAGGCGGUUAUGUAAGACAGAUGUGAAAUCCCCGGGCUCAACCUGGGAACUGCAUUUGUGACUGCAUAGCUAGAGUACGGUAGAGGGGGAUGGAAUUCCGCGUGUAGCAGUGAAAUGCGUAGAUAUGCGGAGGAACACCGAUGGCGAAGGCAGCCCCCUGGGUCAAGAUUGACGCUCAUGCACGAAAGCGUGGGGAGCAAACAGG